rnacentral:misc_RNA from 1 species
UCUCGGCUUAUCACCGGCAGUCCCCCUAGAGUGCCCAACUGAAUGAUGGCAACUAAGGGCGAGGGUUGCGCUCGUUGCGGGACUUAACCCAACACCUCACGGCACGAGCUGACGACAGCCAUGCACCACCUGUGCACUGGCCCCGAAGGGCUGCCGUAUUUCUACGACGUUCCAGUGCAUGUCAAGCCCUGGUAAGGUUCUUCGCGUUGCGUCGAAUUAAACCACAUGCUCCGCUGCUUGUGCGGGUCCCCGUCAAUUCCUUUGAGUUUUAGCCUUGCGGCCGUACUUCCCAGGCGGGGCACUUAAUGCGUUAGCUACGGCACGGAGCCCGUCGAUCGAGCCCCACACCUAGUGCCCAACGUUUACGGCGUGGACUAC